AAUAGAUACCCCGGUAGUCCACGCCGUAAACGAUGAAUACUAGGUGUGGGGGGACUGACCCCUUCCGUGCCGCAGUUAACACAAUAAGUAUUCCACCUGGGGAGUACGACCGCAAGGUUGAAACUCAAAGGAAUUGACGGGGGCCCGCACAAGCAGUGGAUUAUGUGGUUUAAUUCGAAGCAACGCGAAGAACCUUACCAGGUCUUGACAUCGUGCGCAUAGUAUAGAGAUAUAUGAAGCCCUUCGGGGCGCAUAGACAGGUGGUGCAUGGUUGUCGUCAGCUCGUGUCGUGAGAUGUUGGGUUAAGUCCCGCAACGAGCGCAACCCUUACGAUUAGUUGCUACGCAAGAGCACUCUAACAGGACUGCCGUUGACAAAACGGAGGAAGGUGGGGAUGACGUCAAAUCAUCAUGCCCCUUAUGACCUGGGCUACACACGUAAUACAAUGGCGCCCAACAGAGGGAAGCAAGACCGCGAGGUGGAGCAAAUCCUCAAAAGGCGUCUCAGUUCAGAUUGCAGGCUGC
rnacentral:rRNA from 1 species